rnacentral:rRNA from 1 species
CUACACCGGUAUCUAAUCCUGUUUGCUCCCCACACUUUCGCACCUCAGCGUCAGUAUCGAGCCAGUGAGCCGCCUUCGCCACUGGUGUUCCUCCGAAUAUCUACGAAUUUCACCUCUACACUCGGAAUUCCACUCACCUCUCCCGAACUCAAGACCAGCAGUAUCAAGGGCAGUUCCGGGGUUGAGCCCCGAGAUUUCACCCCUGACUGACUGAUCCGCCUACGUGCGCUUUACGCCCAGUAAUUCCGAAGAACGCUAGUCCCCUCCGUAUUACCGCAGCUGCUGGCAC